rnacentral:rRNA from 1 species
UACGUAGGGGGCAAGCGUUGUCCGGAAUUAUUGGGCGUAAAGAGCUCGUAGGCGGUCUGUUGCGUCCGCUGUGAAAGUCGGGGGCUCAACCCUCGAAUGCCGGUGGAUACUGUCGGGCUAGAGUGCGGAAGAGGCGAGUGGAAUUCCUGGUGUAGCGGUGAAAUGCGCAGAUAUCAGGAGGAACACCAAUGGCGAAGGCAGCUCGCUGGGACGGUACUGACGCUGAGGCGCGAAAGCGUGGGGAGCAAACAGG